rnacentral:rRNA from 1 species
AUUGAACGCUGGCGGCAUGCUUUACACAUGCAAGUCGAACGGCAGCGCGGGCUUCGGCCUGGCGGCGAGUGGCGAACGGGUGAGUAAUGCAUCGGAACGUGCCCAGUAGUGGGGGAUAGCCCGGCGAAAGCCGGAUUAAUACCGCAUACGACCUGAGGGUGAAAGCGGGGGACCGAAAGGCCUCGCGCUAUUGGAGCGGCCGAUGUCGGAUUAGCUAGUUGGUGGGGUAAAGGCUUACCAAGGCGACGAUCCGUAGCUGGUCUGAGAGGACGACCAGCCACACUGGGACUGACACACGGCCCAGACUCCUACGGGAGGCAGCAGUGGGGAAUUUUGGACAAUGGGGGCAACCCUGAUCCAGCCAUGCCGCGUGCGGGAAGAAGGCCUUCGGGUUGUAAACCGCUUUUGUUCGGGAAGAAAUCCUCUGGGCUAAUACCCCGGGGGGAUGACGGUACCGGAAGAAUAAGCACCGGCUAACUACGUG